UGGGGAAUUUUGGGCAAUGGGCGAAAGCCUGAUCCAGCAAUGCCGCGUGUGUGAAGAAGGCCUUCGGGUUGUAAAGCACUUUUGUCCGGAAAGAAAUCCUUGGCUCUAAUACAGUCGGGGGAUGACGGUACCGGAAGAAUAAGCACCGGCUAACUACGUGCCAGCAGCCGCGGUAAUACGUAGGGUGCAAGCGUUAAUCGGAAUUACUGGGCGUAAAGCGUGCGCAGGCGGUUUGCUAAGACCGAUGUGAAAUCCCCGGGCUCAACCUGGGAACUGCAUUGGUGACUGGCAGGCUAGAGUAUGGCAGAGGGGGGUAGAAUUCCACGUGUAGCAGUGAAAUGCGUAGAGAUGUGGAGGAAUACCGAUGGCGAAGGCAGCCCCCUGGGCCAAUACUGACGCUCAUGCACGAAAGCGUGGGGAGCAAACAGGAUUAGAUACCCUGGUAGUCCACGCCCUAAACGAUGUCAACUAGUUGUUGGGGAUUCAUUUCCUUAGUAACGUAGCUAACGCGUGAAGUUGACCGCCUGGGGAGUACGGUCGCAAGAUUAAAACUCAAAGGAAUUGACGGGGUCAUAGCUGUUUCCU
rnacentral:rRNA from 1 species